GCAAUAUUUCCUUUGAGAUAAGAAAGGCUGCUGUCUGCUGUGCACUCCAAGGAGCCAUCGUGGGGCACUUCCAGGGGCAGCUACACCUGACUUUUUUAAGUCACAGGGACAUUUGCAACCACUUCUUCCUCUGGGCCAGGAGCUGCUUUUGAAGACAUAUCAAGUACAAAAUGCAGAGUCAGCAGCUUGAAAGGAUCCCUGAGAACACAUGGCAGCCAGGAGAACAUGACAGAACAGGGCAAGGAGGAUCCACUACAGUUUUUGUGUCUUUAAUCAACUCCUCACAGUCACAAGUGUCCAAACACAGACCUGUAACACAUAAUUCUCAGGACAGCACCUACUGCACUUUAAAAGAGUUUCUAUUAACUUGAUUACUAUUAA